ACGAUUAAAAUAACCAAAGUAUAAUUAUUAAAAGUAAUAAAUAAAAUUGUUAUUUUUAAAAAUGUUAUACUAACAAUUAGUUAAUACAUUUUAUUACAAAUAUAUAUUAUACCAUUUCGUACAAAAAAGAAUUAAAAUUGAAAACAAAUAUUCAAACGGUCACAGGUCAAACUCUAAGAAUAAACAAUAACAGCGCGGAAUAAUUUGUUUUAACUAAUUCAUUUUAAUAAAAAUCAUAAUUCCAAAAAAAAAUUAAAUUAUUUUAUUUAUUUUAAGGGGUGCCAAAAUUUUGGAAUUAGAAAGAUAUAUGACCCAACCCUACUGUUUUAGUAUGAAUAAUUGAAAUUCAUAUCAUAAUAUUUUAUUAAAAGUUUAAUUUUAUUUUUUUUUUAACUGUAUAGUUUACAUUUUAAUCUAAAUUUAUGAAUAGAAUGUGCAAAUUUAUUUUGUGAUAUACAUUCUUGUUUGUGAAAAAUAAUUUAAAAUAUAUACUACAAUGCUUUGGAGUAAAAGCGAAGAAAUAUAUGACUUUAAAAAUUAUGAAAUUAUCUGCAAAAAUGGUAAAAAAAUUAAAGAAAAAAGAAGACCAUACAUGUUGACUAUAACAUUAUUUUGUUCAGAAAAACCAUAAACGUUUGAAAAUAUGGUUAAUGUUAAGAAUAUUUACCAUUAACGAUGUAGAAACAAAUUUUUACGCAUAUAAAAAUGAAAACAAACACCUGUGUGGUUGUGCGCGUCUGGUUAAGUAAUCAUUAAAUAUUUAACCCAAAUGUUAUACUGUUUUUAAUUGAAUGUAUUUUCGAAAAGUGGUAGUAGGUAUUUCUAAACAUUUCUAGAAAUAAUGAGUGUAGUAAUUUACAAAUGAAAAGGUACUAGAGAGGUGUUAAAUAUAAUAUCCACUAUUAUAACUUUACAACUAGUGUCUGAAAACGUGUAAAAAAUCAUAAAACAUACUGAAAGAUGGUGUGCAAUUUUUUACACCAAAAUAUGGUGUAUAACUAACUGAACUUAAUUUUGUUAUUUCCUACCUGUUCUUUAAGUUAAGAUUUUCUGAGAAUUGAAUAUGAAAAUGACUACUUUCGAAAUUACAAUUUUUAUUAGAUGAAAAUCUUGAAAUCAAAGUAGAAAUCAUCACUGUCAUGAAUUUCCAAAAGUUAUAAUCCAACAACACACUAAUACAAAUCAAUAGCUCUUCUGUCGUCAUCACAAUUUAAAUGGGCCUGCUUUCCUAUCUACAUGAAACGCAUCGUUUUGGGUCGUUCAUGUACCGUUAUGUUGUUGGGGGAUUCAAGGAAGAAGGAUGCUCUCUGUAAUGAAAGAGCUACGAUAUCAUCGAGUUAUUCAACUCGGGACUCUAAACGAAUUGCGAUGAUACCCUAACUUGGGAUCUAACGCCGCCAGAAUUGAAUGGAAAGAUCGAAACUUGGAAUCAGACAAUGGCUUUAACAGGUAUGUCCCAACAUACAGUGUGUUUUGGAAGUGAGUUUCAUGUUCUGCGUUUGUUGUUGUUGGAGCAGAGUCCUGGUGUUGUGACCUUCCUACUAUAAUGGAUGGGUACUAAAAAACGUUACUUCCUCUAAAUGCAAGUUGAAUCCAACCGUUGUUUCUUCAUCUGGCGAUCGAGAAAGUCCUCUUGAGACCUCACAACAGAGACUCGGUGGGUAAAACCGUUUCAGAACAGCUUGCGGUUUAAAGCGGUGAAAACUGUACAUAUCUAAAAAUGAGAGCAUGAUGCAGCACAAUUUAAAGUAUCAUUUUGUAAUGUAAUAAACUCUGAUCAUGUCUUGAAUUUAGACUUUUCUUACCUUCACAGCCAUAUAUAUACAGAAAAGAUAAGCUUUCCACAA